GUGUGCGAGCAGAGGAUGUAGGUGGUGGUCUGUGAGUUGGCAGCGGCUGAGGUCCAGUUCUGAUAGCCCCUUUGAAUACUCCAGAACCAGGGCCAGAGAACGACAGGCCUUCUGAUCCAGCAUGAUCUCACUGAGGUCCAUCUCCCCGCCUAGGGCUCUGACCAGGGAUCCUGCAUGAUCUCACUGAGGUCCAUCUCCCCGCCUAGGGCUCUAAACCAGGGAUCCAGCAUGAUCUCACUGAGGUCCAUCUCCCCGCCUAGGGCUCUAAACCAGGGAUCCAGCAUGAUCUCACUGAGGUCCAUCUCCCCGCCUAGGGCUCUAAACCAGGGAUCCAGCAUGAUCUCACUGAGGUCCAUCUCCCCGCCUAGGGCUCUAAACCAGGGAUCCAGCAUGAUCUCACUGAGGUCCAUCUCCCCGCCUAGGGCUCUAAACCAGGGAUCCAGCAUGAUCUCACUGAGGUCCAUCUCCCCGCCUAGGGCUCUAAACCAGGGAUCCAGCAUGAUCUCACUGAGGUCCAUCUCCCCGCCUAGGGCUCUAAACCAGGGAUCCAGCAUGAUCUCACUGAGGUCCAUCUCCCCGCCUAGGGCUCUAAACCAGGGAUCCAGCAUGAUCUCACUGAGGUCCAUCUCCCGCCUAGGGCUCUAAACCAGGGAUCCUGCAUGAUGCACUGCAUUAUUCUUGUUACAAGUUUGUACAAGUUGAACCAAUAUGGCUUUACUGGGGCUGAGUCAGAGAGAAACGAGAGACAAGGUCAGCCAGUUUAGAUGAAGAGAUGCAACGUUUUUGAAAAGGCGAAA